ACGAACGCUGGCGGCGUACCUAAUACAUGCAAGUUGAGCGCUGAAGGUUGGUACUUGUACCAACUGGAUGAGCAGCGAACGGGUGAGUAACGCGUGGGGAAUCUGCCUUUGAGCGGGGGACAACAUUUGGAAACGAAUGCUAAUACCGCAUAAAAACUUUAAACACAAGUUUUAAGUUUGAAAGAUGCAAUUGCAUCACUCAAAGAUGAUCCCGCGUUGUAUUAGCUAGUUGGUGAGGUAAAGGCUCACCAAGGCGAUGAUACAUAGCCGACCUGAGAGGGUGAUCGGCCACAUUGGGACUGAGACACAGCCCAAACUCCUACGGGAGGCAGCAGUAGGGAAUCUUCGGCAAUGGACGAAAGUCUGACCGAGCAACGCCGCGUGAGUGAAGAAGGUUUUCGGAUCGUAAAACUCUGUUGGUAGAGAAGAACGUUGGUGAGAGUGGAAAGCUCAUCAAGUGACGGUAACUACCCAGAAAGGGACGGCUAACUACGUG
rnacentral:rRNA from 1 species